rnacentral:rRNA from 1 species
CCAUACGGGUUGAAGCAUGACCGUAAGGACAUGUGGACAGUAUGGGAGUGAGAAUGUUGGCAUGAGUAGCGAGAUGUGGGUGGGAAUCCCACAGGCCGUAAACCCAAGGUUUCCAGGGGAAGGUUCGGCCGCCCUGGGUUAGUCGGGACCUAAGCUGAGGCCGAAAGGCGUAGGUGAUGGACAACAGGUUGAUAUUCCUGUACUACCGAU